rnacentral:rRNA from 1 species
CCUACGGGAGGCAGCAGUGGGGAAUAUUGCACAAUGGGGGAAACCCUGAUGCAGCGACGCCGCGUGAGGGAAGAAGUAUUUCGGUAUGUAAAGCUCUAUCAGCAGGGAAGAUAAUGACGGUCCCUGAGUAAGAAGCCCCGACUAACUACGUGCCAGCAGCCGCGGUAAUGAGGAGGGGGCACGCGUUAGCCGGAGUUACUGGGUGUAAAGGGAGCGUAGAAGGGAUUGCAAGUCUGAAGUGAAAGCCCGGGGCUCAACCGUAGGACUGCAUUUGAAACUGUUAAGCUGGAGUGCAGUAGAGGUAAGUGGAAUUCGUAGUGUAGCGGUGAAAUGCGUAGAUAUUAGGAAGAACCCCAGUGGCGAAGGCGGCUUACUGGACUGUGACUGACGUUGAGGCUCGAAAGCGUGGGGAGCAAACAGGAUUAGAUACCCGAGUAGUC